rnacentral:rRNA from 1 species
CCUACGGGAGGCAGCAGUGAGGAAUAUUGGUCAAUGGGCGGGAGCCUGAACCAGCCAAGCCGCGUGAGGGAAGAAGGUACAGCGUAUCGUAAACCUCUUUUGUCAGGGAACAAAGGCGGGGACUAGUCCCCGGAUGAGGGUACCUGAAGAAAAAGCAUCGGCUAACUCCGUGCCAGCAGCCGCGGUAAUACGGGGGAUGCAAGCGUUAUCCGGAUUUAUUGGGUUUAAAGGGUGCGUAGGCUGUGAGGUAAGUCAGCGGUGAAAUGCCCCCGCUCAACGGGGUGAAGUGCCAUUGAUACUGCCUUGCUGGAGUGCGGAUGCCGUGGGAGGAAUGUGUGGUGUAGCGGUGAAAUGCAUAGAUAUCGAGAGGAACACUCGUGGCGAAGGCGGGUUCCUGGACAUUAACUGACGCUGAGGCACGAAGGCCAGGGGAGCGAAAGGGAUUAGAUACCCUAGUAGUC